rnacentral:rRNA from 1 species
GACGAACGCUGGCGGCGUGCUUAACACAUGCAAGUCGAACGGAAAGGCCCAGCUUGCUGGGUGCUCGAGUGGCGAACGGGUGAGUAACACGUGGGUGAUCUGCCCCUAACUUCGGGAUAAGCUCGGGAGACUGGGUCUAAUACAGGAUAGGACAAGCGUGUCGAGUUGGUGGAGGAACGUUGUUGCGGUUGGGGAUGAGCCCGCGGCGUAUAAGCUUGUUGGUGGUGUAAUGGCCUACCAAGGCGUCGACGGGUAGCCGGCCUUAGAGGGUGGACGGCCACAGUGGGACUGGGAUACGGCCCAGACUCCUACGGUAGGCAGCAGUGGGGAAUAUUGCACAAUGGGCGCAAGCCUGAUGCAGUGACGCCGCGUGGGGGAUGACGGCCUUCGGGUUGUAAUCCUCUUUCGACAGGGACGAAGCUUUGGUGACGGUACCUGUAUAAGAAGCACCGGCUAACUACGUGCCAGCAGCCGCAGUAACAC